UCAACCUAGAAUCAUUAAUCUCGAUUGUACAAACAUGUGAUUGAAGGAAAAUUCUUAGCACUUAAAAAUUAUUCUCUGAUCAUAUGCCAUUUGAACCGGUGCCCAAAUAUGUGAUCAGCUACUCUACUUAUAGGAAAAUGCACAGACACACCGAUUUUGUUUUCUCUUUUUCUCUCGUUGGCGUAAAAAUUUCCCAAUACUUUGCACACCGAGCAUUACGGCCGCGAGAGCAAUUUUUCCUUCUCAUAUGUAUGCAAAUGAUUUUUAAGUAGCAAUAAAUAUGCGGACUUAGUCGUUGACUCGAUCUCGUUCAGUUUAGUUCUUACCCGGGUUUUCUGCACCGCCAUCGGAAACGUUCGAUCACACGUUUUUCUUUUUUACGCAGUUUUUCCCUCCGUUUGUGUUUCAGUUCUCGCGUAUUUAUAUGUUUGGAAUGCGUUUUGUGUGACGAAUUUUUGUUGUUGUUUUAUAGUGUGUGCUGCUUUCGAUACGUUGGUCAUUGAUCAGCCAAGACAAUUUUAGAAAUCGAUCAUGUUCGCAAACGGGAGGCGCCGAUCAGAUUGGGGAAAACUAUGCUGGCUGCUGCCUGCUACUGUUAAAUGUUUCUAAAAUCUUUCGGUCGUGUAUCAAGUGGCAAUCUUAAUGUGAUGUUGGAUAAAAAUAGUGCUGGGCAGGGGGCUGUGAUUAGUUUCGUCACCCGUGCCAAACUACACCUGCUGUUUCUCCAGCUUUCCUUGCCGAUUGUUAAUGUAUAGAAGGUGACAAAGCUAGUGUUACGCCUAUUGGCGCAAAGAGUCCCCCAGGCUGCAAUUUGAUCAUACAACUGGCUAAUGAAUCCUGGGCCUUGUCAGCCCAGAGCUGUACAACAUAGUAUAUGCUUCUAAAAUUAGCCUCGGUAGCUCCUUCCCUUGACAGUUCACACAUGGUGUCUUUGCUUACGAACUCCGUACUAAAGGGGGAGAAUCGCAAAAGUAAACUCUAGGCACUGGAAGACAGUUCUGUGACAAUAAUGUUAGCCAUCUAAUAAGUAAGUUUGAAGUGCGGGACUGUCCUAAAAAUAGAAGAAUGUCAGCAUCAGAGCUGAACGAAGAAGUGUACGUGCGACGCAACCGGCCAUAUGGUACGCCGAUGCCCGGUAAUGCCGGAGGGCGUCCCGUUUUCCUCAAUGACUCUGCUGUAUUCUACGAUAGUGUUGAAAGUAUUCCGGCAAACGUAAGAUUUCGCAAUCGGUUCAGUUAUAACGAAUCGUUAUCAUCGUUGAAUGAAUCGGACUACGAAGGUCCUUACGAGCCACCGGUAGGCUAUUAUCGGGAUGAACCGGUGCCGAUUAGCAAAGAGCAGGUGGUUACCUCACUAUCGCGCUUCGGAGCCAUUCUGAAUAUGCUGUCGAAAAUUCCAUUCCCGCGAUUGUCCGUCACCGGCAUGGGAUUCUGCUCGCUCGUCGCUAUCUUCAUCUGUCCACGAACGCUCGGUGCCAAUGUACUGUUUCCCGG